UUAGUAACGGCGAGCGAACAGGGAAAAGCCCAGCACUGAAUCGCGCGGACCACUGGGACGCUGCGAAAUGUAGUGUUUGGGAGGGUCCGCUAUUCCGUGAUUUGUCAAUGCGUCCAAGUCCUUCUUGAACGGGGCCACUUACCCAAAGAGGGUGCCAGGCCCGUAGCGACCGUUGACAAUUGCGGAAGGAUCUCUCCUUAGAGUCGAGUUGCUUGAGAGUGCAGCUCUAAGUGGGUGGUAAACUCCAUCUAAGGCUAAAUAUAACCACGAGACCGAUAGCGAACAAGUACCGUGAGGGAAAGUUGAAAAGAACUUUGAAGAGAGAGUUCAAUAGUACGUGAAACCGUUUAAGGGUAAACCUGAGAAACCCGAAAGUUCGAUCGAGGAGAUUCAGUGUGUCUCAAUGUGCGCGAGUGCCGUUCGUAGACGAAUUGUUGUUAGUGGCAAUCGCUACUUACGUGCGCCGCUGUGCGUCGAACGCAUGCACUUCUCCUCUAGUAGGACGUCACGACCCGUUGGGUGUCGGUCUGAGGCUCGCAGUGGAGCCCGAGUGUUGGUUUCGGCCUUUGCUUGGACCUGUGGUGUCCCGACCGACUGCUCGACGGUAUGACUAAGGCGCAGAGCCGCGACUUGAUCGCGUUCGGGCCUUCACAAGCAUGGUCGGCUACUCGAACAUCGGACUUGUGCCGAUCUCGAAACCGUUCAGUUGUUGGUGUUGAGACUCCCGAACAGACUCUGUACUCGCCUGUCGGUGACGCUAUAGCUUUGGGUACUUUCAGGACCCGUCUUGAAACACGGACCAAGGAGUAUAGCAUGUGCGCGAGUCAAUGGGACACUCGAAUCCUAAAGGCGCAAUGAAAGUAAAAGCAGAGCCUAGCUCAGCUUAGGGAAGAUGGGCGACUUCGGUCGCCUCGCACUCCCAGGGCGUCUCGUUCUCAUUGCGAGAAGAGGCGCACCUAGAGCGUAAAUGCUGUAACCCGAAAGAUGAUGAACUAUGCCUGGUCAGGAC
rnacentral:rRNA from 1 species